UGGACUGGAACCUGGGAUUUCCUGUUUUCCAGGAACCAGCAGAGAUGACUGAUGAGGCCUGAAUGAGAUGCUUUGAGCUGGGGUGACAAUGACUCCUCACGGCUUGCUGAAGUGGGAGGUGGCCCCUUGCCUUGCUCUUCGUCUUCCCUGUCACAUGCUUCCUUAGCUGAUAAGAACUUAGAUGAGAACCAUGUUUAUGAAGUCUGAAAAGAAGUGUAGAUGAGACAACUCACUAAAUAACCCAUGAUAAAUGGCUAUGGACAUAUCCAUACAGGAAUAAAUGAGGCUGAAAGUAUUCACCCCAAAGUGUUGAGACCGUGUGAGACUGCAGCUGAUUUUCAUUCAUUCUUUUUAUGUUUUUCAUGUGUUAUGUAAUGAACACACAUUAUUUUGUCAAAAUAAAGUUGUUGGCAUGAGAAAUGAUUUCAAUAAAAAUGUAUACUUUAAUCCUA